ACCGUCGUUAUCAGAAUAUUUUAUAAGAAUAAUAAUAUUCAAUAAUUUUAAUAAAAAUUUAUAUCAGAUCAAGGUGUAGCUUAUAUUUAAGUAAUAAUGGGUUACAAUAAAUUUAUUUAUAUGAAUAAAAUUAUGAAAAAAUUUUUGAAAGUGGAUUUAGUAGUAAAAUUAUAAAGAUUAAUAAUUUGAUUUUAGCUCUAAAAUAUGUACACAUCGCCCGUCGCUCUUAUUAUUAAGGUAAGAUAAGUCGUAACAUAGUAGAUGUACUGGAAAGUGUAUCUAGAAU
rnacentral:rRNA from 1 species